CAGCCGCCGCGGUAAUACAGAGGGUGCGAGCGUUAAUCGGAUUUACUGGGCGUAAAGCGUGCGUAGGCGGCUUCUUAAGUCGGAUGUGAAAUCCCUGAGCUUAACUUAGGAAUUGCAUUCGAUACUGGGAAGCUAGAGUAUGGGAGAGGAUGGUAGAAUUCCAGGUGUAGCGGUGAAAUGCGUAGAGAUCUGGAGGAAUACCGAUGGCGAAGGCAGCCAUCUGGCCUAAUACUGACGCUGAGGUACGAAAGCGUGGGGAGCAAACAGGAUUAGAUACCCCUGUAGUCCCUGUCUCUUAUAC
rnacentral:rRNA from 1 species